UAUGGUGUAAUUCGGCCCGGGUGUGUUUUUUUACAGCAUGUGAAUUUGUCUAAUUAGUCUCGAAUUUCAAAAUUACAGAUUAGAGCAUAUUUUCAAACCCGCGUAGUUUUCAAACCGUACACUGGAUCGGAGUGAUUCAGAUAUGAAACUUGACUAGAAUUUUGCGUAGAGUAAUAUUUUCCAACUCUCAUGCAUAAUUAGAACUGUUUAGUGUGUUUUGUGCAUC
rnacentral:lncRNA from 1 species